rnacentral:rRNA from 1 species
GUAGGGGGCGAGCGUUAUCCGGAUUUAUUGGGCGUAAAGCGUGUGUAGGCGGUUUAUUAAGUCUAAGAUUAAAGCCUGAGGCUCAACCUCAGUUCGUCUUGGAAACUGGUAGACUUGAGUGUGGUAGAGGCAAGUGGAAUUUCUAGUGUAGCGGUUAAAUGCGUAGAUAUUAGAAGGAACACCAGUGGCGAAGGCGGCUUGCUGGGCCAUUACUGACGCUGAGACACGAAAGCGUGGGGAGCAAA